UUCAUUCACUGUCCUUGGAUCCUUAAUGUUUAAUCUACUACAGGCUGUUGCUAAAUGAAAAAUGUCAGAAGAAAACAUAAUAUCUGGUUUCAGUUCUCCUUGAUCUCACCAAUUUUUUUGAUCUCUUGACUGAAGUGAAAUGUGGAAAUUCCUUUAAAAGUUGUGCAACUAUUAAAGAAAGAAAGAAAGAAAGAAAGAAAGAAAGAAAGAAAGAAAGAAAGAAAGAAAGAAAGAAAGAGAGAAAGAAACAAAGAAGGAAAGAAAGAAAAGAAACCAACCUAGUGAAUUGUUGGCCAAGGCAGGGUCAUCAGGCCCCAGUUCAAACAGCGUUUAAGCACUUGCUUAACUUAUUAAUUGAAGUCAAUGGGAUUUCAAGCACUUUGCUGAAAUAGGAGGUUUUGUGGACAACAGUUGUGCCAGUACAUUUGUAAUACAAAAAUCAAGCCAGGCCAGGUUUAUUUUGGCUCAGGGUUUCUUUGUGGUGGUGAUUGACAAAUCCACAGAAUUGGACCAAUACCAGGGAGGUGAUGACUGUAAGAGAAGUGAUGACAAGAAAUAAUAAAUUUUGAACUAGCAAACACUUUAGCUUGGGCAGGCUGAAAACCUCUACAUAAGGGAACAAAGAGGUCCAUUUAUGCUGAUAAAUGCGCUCUUUUCAGGAAGACCUCCUGUUCAUCAGCAACUAAUAUGCUGGGAUAGCUAAAAUCUUGAAGUAAAUCCUUUUGUAAGUGGUAUAACUGCACUGAAGCUUUGGAAAUGGGCAGGUUUACAUCACUUGAUAGCCUAGUCAUACAAUCUUAUAACCACUUUUAAAAAGAUUCAUUUCCUGGAGAAAAAAUUUCAUGCCUUAACAUUGCAGGCAGUAGGACAGAGAUUAGCAUGGUAAUGCAUUUCGUGCCUGUUGCUGGAGAUUGUCCAAACACACCCCACUAACCAAUAAAUCACUGCCUAAUUGAAAAGAUUCCAGAAACUGGUUACGACAUCGAGGAUGGAACCAGUACAAGGAAUCUGACGGCAGUGUCCGCACGUAGGGUGUGGCUCUCCCAGCCUGCCCCCACUUGUACUGCUCCCUCCUCUUCCUCCUUCGGACGCUUCUCACUGCCCAAUCCCAUGCGUUGUCCUCCGCACUAUCUCUGGUAGGUAUCUUCUCUCACGAAGAGUGAGUUAACUCACUAACCU
ensembl:lncRNA